rnacentral:lncRNA from 1 species
UUGCAAGGCAGAUGGACACAGCAGCAGCACAUAAGAGCACACGCGUGGGGCUCCAGCCCGGCCACGGGGAGACCUUUUCUCAGCAAAGGGCAGCACUGCUCGCUUUGCUGGGGCAGCCCUCCCAGGAAGAUCCCAGAAGAGAUGGUCUGAGGUGUGUGAACACUGUGAAUGUCAUGGACAAAGCUCAGCGUGGGACCCCAUGGGACUUCAGGCCCUGAAAGCAGCAGAUCUCACCUGCAUUGGAGGAUGAGACGCCACAUGAAGAAGAAAGAAGACGCCACAGACAGCAGCGCAGUACCACCUUCCAGAGAUAGUUCUUGAAGCUAUAAAGCCAAGUCAAGCACCACCAGGCCUUAUCUGCAAUGCCUAGAGAUUCAGAUGGGUUCUUCUCUUCUUGAGGUCCUAAAAACAUCCUGAGUUUCUUUGGCCUGCCAGAAAGUCACCUUCCUGACUCACCUGUAAGGCUGGGAACUCCAUAAUCCAGUUGGAAAUGCAGAAAUCACCUGUCUUCUGCGUCGAUCAGGCUGGGAGCUGCAGACCGGAGCUGUUCCUAUUCGGCCAUCUUGGAAUGGACCCCCAUGUCUUAUUCUCAAAUAAAACAUUUUGGUCAAAG